GAUGAACGCUGGCGGCGUGCUUAACACAUGCAAGUCGAACGAAGCACUUUAUUUUAUUUCCUUCGGGACUGAUGAGUUUGUGACUGAGUGGCGGACGGGUGAUUAACGCGUGGGUAACCUGCCUUGUACAGGGGGAUAACAGUUGGAAACGGCUGCUAAUACCGCAUAAGCGCGCGGCAUCGCAUGAGGCAGUGGGAAAAGCUCCGGUGGUAUAAGAUGGACCCGCGUGGGAUUAGCUAGUUGGUGAGGUAACGGCACACCAAGGCGACGAACCAUAGCCGACCGGAGAGGGUGCCCGGCCACAUUGGGACUGCGACACGGCCCACACUCCUACGGGAGGCAGCAGUGGGGAAUAUUGCACAAUGGGCGAAAGCCUGAUGCCGCGACGCGGCGUGAGCGAAGAAGUAUUUCGGUAUGUAAAGCUCUAUCAGCAGGGAAGAUAAUGACGGUACCUGACAAAGAAGCACCGGCUAAAUACGUG
rnacentral:rRNA from 1 species